rnacentral:rRNA from 1 species
ACCUCGCGCGAUUGGAGCGGCCGAUAUCAGAUUAGGUAGUUGGUGAGGUAAAGGCUCACCAAGCCGACGAUCUGUAGCUGGUCUGAGAGGACGACCAGCCACACUGGGACUGAGACACGGCCCAGACUCCUACGGGAGGCAGCAGUGGGGAAUUUUGGACAAUGGGCGCAAGCCUGAUCCAGCAAUGCCGCGUGCAGGAUGAAGGCCUUCGGGUUGUAAACUGCUUUUGUACGGAACGAAACGGUGAGCUCUAAUACAGUUUGCUAAUGACGGUACCGUAAGAAUAAGCACCGGCUAACUACGUG